CUUCACUUAUCAGCCGCUCACCUCAUCUCUUUCCCUCUCACUUGUCUGAGCACCUUAUCCUCUCAUCUAUUGGAAUCACAGAACAAUUCACACGCACAAACACUGAAAGCCUCCUUCUUCUACAUUACAACCCUAAACUAGAUAUACAUGCACAUUCAGAGAUAUCCAUGUCCCCAUAUCACUUUGCAAGACAUCACAGACUCUCAUCACUCCACCUCUCCCUCUCGUGGACAACAGCAGCGGACGAAGACACGCCGCCGCUCACGGCGACGGUGGUGAGUCGGAAUGUCGGCGAUAGUCCCCCCUUAACCUGUUUUUUUUCUCCGGCGAGACUCCCUCUUCUCCGAUCGAUGUGAUCGGCCGACCACCACCAACCCCCUUGUGCAGUGGUGCGAUGACGAGGAAGAGAGAGCGGGAGCGCGGCAGAGCCGCCGGUGGUCACUGGCAGCGGUGGAGGUCAACAUCAGUCAAUGUCCCAGCUCUGUGUCUCGAUUCGACAAACUGUCCGUUGUUUAUCAGAAGGUUCGGGUCACGACUCAGUCACGAGGUGAUUCGGGUUUCAAUUUCAGUUUCAGUUUGGUUCGUUUCUGUUCGGUCAACCCGCGGUCAACGGGUCAGAACCGGGUUCAGGUCAAACUUGGUCAACCUUCGGUCAAGCCGGGUCAACCAGUCAAACACUAGAUGUGGGUGACAUCGGUAUUCCAUCAUCCUAACCUCACACUCGUCAACACUUGGAUAAUCGGAAGACUUAGCAAUUAUGUUGACAGUCAAGAUGUUGAAGAAUCAAGUUAGGAUGGUCUAGAUACCCAUUUUAAUAAUAAACCAUGUUUGUUGCAAUUUGUCUUUAUUUGAAUCAAUGUAUUUGAAUUUAGUCAUUUAUGAAAUUUGAUUUAAUCUAUAUUGUCACAAA